AUUGAACGCUGGCGGCAGGCCUAACACAUGCAAGUCGAACGAGUGGCGGACGGGUGAGUAAUGUCUGGGAAACUGCCUGAUGGAGGGGGAUAACUACUGGAAACGGUAGCUAAUACCGCAUACCAUCGGAUGUGCCCAGAUGGGAUUAGCUAGUUGGUGGGGUAACGGCUCACCUAGGCGACGAUCCCUAGCUGGUCUGAGAGGAUGACCAGCCAAACUGGAACUGAGACACGGGCCCGACUCCUACGGGAGGGAGGAGUGGGGAAUAUUGGACAAUGGGGGCAAGCCUGAUGGAGCCCUGGCGCGUGGAUGAAGAAGGCCUUCGGGUUUUAAAGUACUUUCAGCGGGGGGGCGUUACCCGCAGGAGAAGGACCGGCUAACUCCGUUCCAGCCGCCGCGGUAAUUC
rnacentral:rRNA from 1 species